GCCGGAAUGGCGAAAUUGGUAGACGCACAUGCUUCAGGUGCAUGCGGGCGCAAGUCCAUGGAGGUUCAAGUCCUCUUUCCGGCAC
rnacentral:tRNA from 1 species